rnacentral:rRNA from 1 species
GCUACGGGAGGCAGCAGUGAGGAAUAUUGGUCAAUGGGCGCGAGCCUGAACCAGCCAAGUCGCGUGAGGGAAGACGGUCCUAUGGAUUGUAAACCUCUUUUGUCGGGGAGCAAAAGACGCCACGCGUGGCGUUCCGAGAGUAACCGAAGAAAAAGCAUCGGCUAACCCCGUGCCAGCAGCCGCGGUAAGACGGAGGAUGCGAGCGUUAUCCGGAUUUAUUGGGUUUAAAGGGUGCGCAGGCGGAAGAUCAAGUCAGCGGUAAAAUUGAGAGGCUCAACCUCUUCGAGCCGUUGAAACUGGUUUUCUGGAGUGAGUGAGAAGUAUGCGGAAUGCGUGGUGUAGCGGUGAAAUGCAUAGAUAUCACGCAGAACUCCGAUUGCGAAGGCAGCAUACCGGCGCUCAACUGACGCUCAUGCACGAAAGUGUGGGUAUCGAACAGGAUUAGAUACCCCAGUAGUC